rnacentral:rRNA from 1 species
AACGAACGCUGGCGGCGUGCCUAACACAUGCAAGUCGUGCGAGAAAGUUCCUUCGGGAGCGAGUAAAGCGGCGCACGGGUGAGUAACACGUAGGUAACCUGCCCCCCAGUCUGGAACAACUAGAGGAAACUCUAGCUAAUGCCGGAUGAGACCACGAUCCCUUCGGGGGUUGCGGCCAAAGAUGGCCUCUACUUGUAAGCUAUCGCUGAGGAAUGGGCCUGCGGGCCAUUAGCUUGUUGGUGAGGUAACGGCUCACCAAGGCUGUGAUGGCUAGCUGGUCUGAGAGGAUGACCAGCCACACUGGGACUGAGACACGGCCCAGACUCCUACGGGAGGCAGCAGUGGGGAAUAUUGCGCAAUGGGCGAAAGCCUGACGCAGCGACGCCGCGUGGGUGAUGAAGGCCU